rnacentral:rRNA from 1 species
CCUACGGGAGGCAGCAGUGAGGAAUAUUGGUCAAUGGGCGAGAGCCUGAACCAGCCAAGUCGCGUGAGGGAGUACUGCCCUAUGGGUUGUAAACCUCUUUUGUCGGGGAGCAAAAGCCGGACGUGUCCGGCUGUGAGAGUACCCGAAGAAAAAGCAUCGGCUAACUCCGUGCCAGCAGCCGCGGUAAUACGGAGGAUGCGAGCGUUAUCCGGAGUUAUUGGGGUUAAAGGGUGCGCAGGCGGAAGAUCAAGUCAGCGGUAAAAUUGAGAGGCUCAACCUCUUCGAGCCGUUGAAACUGGUUGUCUUGAGUGAGCGAGAAGUAUGCGGAAUGCGUGGUGUAGCGGUGAAAUGCAUAGAUAUCACGCAGAACUCCGAUUGCGAAGGCAGCAUACCGGCGCUCAACUGACGCUCAUGCACGAAAGUGUGGGUAUCGAACAGGAUUAGAUACCCUUGUAGUC